ACCAACUGUAACAAAGGGGCUGCUGGCUCAGUCGAUACGCCUUGUUGUUAUGGGGUCAUAAUUUUAUGCGAAAAAUCAUUAGAAAAACGUUGACACCAAUGACAGGAACUAGUUGUUGCAGUUAUCAAAGAUCAAACAGAUUCACUUUUGAUUAUCAUUUAAUUCCAAGUCCAAGAAAUAAACAUAGGACAAUGUCAAUAUCAAAUGUACGACUCCUAACUGUAACUAUCUCGACUCUCUGUUCUUACUCUUUAUCCACACUAUUUCUAUUCUCUACUGUUUUACAU
rnacentral:lncRNA from 1 species